rnacentral:rRNA from 1 species
CCUACGGGAGGCAGCAGUGGGGAAUUUUGGACAAUGGGCGCAAGUCUGAUCCAGCCAUGCCGCGUGUGGGAAGAAGGCCUUCGGGUUGUAAACCACUUUUGUCAGGGAAGAAACGGUUUGUCCUAAUACGGCGGACUAAUGACGGUACCUGAAGAAUAAGCACCGGCUAACUACGUGCCAGCAGCCGCGGUAAUACGUAGGGUGCAAGCGUUAAUCGGAAUUACUGGGCGUAAAGCGUGCGCAGGCGGCUUUGCAAGACAGAUGUGAAAUCCCCGGGCUCAACCUGGGAACUGCAUUUGUGACUGCAUGGCUAGAGUACGGUAGAGGGGGGAUGGAAUUCCGCGUGUAGCAGUGAAAUGCGUAGAUAUGCGGAGGAACACCGAUGGCGAAGGCAAUCCCCUGGACCUGUACUGACGCUCAUGCACGAAAGCGUGGGGAGCAAACAGGAUUAGAUACCCUGGUAGUCCACGCCCUAAACGAUGUCAACUGGUUGUUGGACGGCUUGCUGUUCAGUAACGAAGCUAACGCGUGAAGUUGACCGCCUGGGGAGUCGGCCGCAAGGUUGAAACUCAAAUGAAUUGACCGGNGUGAGAGNGCGACGGACGACGACGAGGGGAGGAGG